UCUGGUCUUUAGUUUAUGAUCCUUCUUGAUUUUACUUUAGCUUCUCUUUCCCAGGAGGUUCUGCCAUCUUUCUCCUCAUGCUGCUUCCUGGCACUCUGACUACCAUAUGUUAGCCCUUACUGAAUAAAAGGGAGGUGGUGUCUGGUGCCCAUAAAAUCAACUUCUUUGGCCCAACAGGGACAGAGCUUUUUUUGCUGUUCCGGAAGCUUCCCAGUAAGGGGAGUCAUUUUUCACAGCUGUUUUGGCUUGCUCCCUGAUAAAAGAGUUGUGGCUAUCCCUGAAGCAGAAUCCUUAAAGUCUGACCACAUUGAGGGAUGCAUUUUCCUUUCCUUGAGAAGUAAAUGCCUGGUCCAAGCAGCGGUUAGAGUCAGCUACCCUGGUUCCAGACAGUUUUUGGAGUGUACCCCCUCCCCCACACAGUCUUUUACAGAGCAGGUGGAGGACCUUCUAGGAUUCCUGAUUGGGUUCCAGUUGUUUGUAGACCUAGGAAUUUUCCACAACCUUGGACAAGGUGUUUUAAAAUAAGAUUCUUAGAAGGAGUUUAUAGACUCCCCCACACUGCCAAAGGGGUGCAGGACACACAAAACAAGGUGAAGAACCUCUGGU
rnacentral:lncRNA from 1 species